CCCUUUCCCUGUUUUCCCCUUUUCCUGUCUUUCCCUUUUCCUGGUGUUUUCCCCUCUCUCACAAGAUUUAUACUUGAUAAAAAUAUUGAAGCCUUAAUUUUGCCCGUUGAUAUUCAGAUUUUGUAUUUUAUAGACCAAAACUUUAUGUUUUUUUUUUUUUAGAAAUAGUCCCAUUUGGGGAUGCCCCUUGUCUCAGAGCUUUCCCGCCUUUUUUUGUGAGGGGGGCGGGAGGGGCCGGCCGCCAUUUUGUGUGGGGGACCGGAGGGGCUGGUCGCCAUUUUGGUGUGGGCAAAGGGGUUGUCUGCCAUUUGUUGUGUGGGGAGGGGGCUUCUUGUCAUUUUUUUGUGUGGGGUGGGGCUGUCUGCCGUCAGGUUGGGGUGGAGGAGGCUGCCCACCAUGUCACAUAAGGCAGAUGGAAUUAUGUAUGGCAGAUCACUUACCAUGGUAACAUAGAUUAUGACAGCUGAGCCAUUGACUUUUUUAUACUUAAGAUCCAGUGGAAGCCACGGAAAAACUAUAAAAGAUCUCGCCUUCUUGAGGAAGGAACAUCCAGUAAUCCUGUUCUACCUGACAAGUGCUCUGCUCAGCUGGCAUCGAGCUCCUGUUCCGAAGAAAAUAGCCUCAAACCAGGUCUGAAAGGCGGUCUGGACCCACAGCUACACCAUCUGUGACCCCGAAGGUAAUCUCCACAGAGUUGCCUUGUUUGGGUUUACUUGAGUUUCAGAGUGCAGGGAUUAAAGACCAGUUGGUGUUACCCUGAAUAUGAGGGGAAAAACCCCUACAACUAGUAAAACAAACAAGUGGACCACCAGCCCUGGUGUUGCCAUCAGAGCCCACUGUUCGGCUGUGUUGCCAGACUCAAACACUAUUGCCGGUGUGUGCUAGUAGACACAACAAAUAUGUCACUUCUGACUCCAAAUUUACAUUGUUGGGAUUGCUCAUGAGGAAUUUGGACACUAGUAGACAUGGGAAAUGCUCAUGUUUACCCAGAUGCAUGAACUUUAGAAGAAAAGUCAUGUAACAAGCCAAAUAUUUGAACAGCGUAUGCAUUUCAGAUAUCCUGUGUACAAAUGUUUGUCUAUCAUGCUGUCCUCUGUGCCUUCCUCAGGUUUUUAAAUGCCCUUGCAAAGGAAGGACUGUAGUUAAACAUCUGCACUGGGUGAAGAGCCCUGUGCAAGAUUUCCUGGUUUGUGUAGCUGGACACUCUCUGAAGAGACAACCCAGUAGGAAAAACCUAAAUGUGUUCAGCCGCUGAGCUGCAGAAUUAUUAUAUUUGGCCCUAAGUGCUUUCUAAUUCAAUUUGGUUUGUAUUUCCUAAGCUUUUUCAUAUGUUGGAAGAUGGAUAUUGAAAGUCUUUGUUUACUGUAGGUUUGCCAGAGUCAGCAAAGGUUGGACCUGUUAAUAAAUCUGUAAUGCAAGAACUCUCAGAUAAUGAGAUCGUGAAAUUAGCAACAUGUUCUUCACUGUUAGUAAUUGUUUCAUCUUGUGAGAGGAUGAAUUUGUACCUAUUGGAGAUCAGAUUUCGAUUGCACAUGUCUCUGCAAAAGCUUAUCAGGCAGCCUGCUGUUUGCCCACAUGGAGGAAAGUUGCUAGAGCUGAGGUAAGGAUAAAAUAUUGUUUUCAAACACCCGCACCCAGGCAUGACAGUUUGUAUCCUCAUUUCUGGAACUGCCCUCCUGGAUUAUCAACCGCUUGCAGGCACAGUUGUAUUUGAAGCGUGGUGAACUUCAAGGUGCUGCUGGUGAGAUGGAGUGGUAAGAUUAAAAAAAUAAGCUUUUCAUCCUGGUUUCAUGUGUAUUAAUGCAUAAAUAACUGAGACACUGGAGCAGCUUUAAGCUAGCUAUUUAUAGCUUUUUAAGAAAAAUAAAUAUACAGCUUCCAAAAUGUCAGUAGCACCAUUUUCAUACUGAUUGCCCUGUUGGGGGUAUUGCUGAUUCUACUGCUUUUGUGUGUUUUCCAGACAUAACUGUGCUAUUUGCUUCAUUAUUGCACAACCUCAGCAUUCACAUACUCUAUAAAGCUAAAUCAGACAACGAUUGAAAAUUUGGGCAGUAAGUCCCGAGCAAUAUUAUUUUGAAUGACUGGUCUCCCCCACAGAGGGAGAAAUAAACAGGAUGCUUGGCUGAGAGGGCCUUAAAACCCAAAUCUGACUAUGUCAGCUCUUCAGCCUCAUGUUUUGGGUGACUGUGGUUGCCUGUUUGUUCUAUUUCCUACAUAUGUUGGGCCAGUGUUAGUGGUUAUGUAAAUGUGUCCGGAGGGUAAGUUCUGUUUAACCAAAGAUAUUUCCAGUAAUGGUGUUGUUUUCUUGGAAAUGCCUGCCUGGCUGUCUUUUUCUAGAAUUAUCUACCAGAUAAAUCAAAAUCGUUUUUGAAAAAUGCACUUGAGCUGCAGGCCAGGCCUCCAUACAGCUUCUUUCAGCCAAAUGUCAGCAGAGAGCCUGAUCAAAGCAUUUUCCUCUGGACACAUUCAAAAUUGUGAAAGAUGAGACAUUAAAUUUCUGAUAGUGAAUUAUUAUCAACUAGCAAGAACUGUUGAGAGAAUAGAGCAUAUUUGCAACGGUUGACCUCUGUUUAGGGGGAAUCUAUGGGAAUAAGAGCAUCUAGACACAACUUGUUAUGGGAAGCAGUUUACUCAGAGCUGUCUCUUUAUUAGUCACCUAAGAAUUCAUUUCAGACAGACAUUUCCCAUACACAUUUUCCUGAGAUGCAACUCAUGUUGCAUCUUUAAUGUUCAAAUAAUUUAGGCAUCUCCUAGAGCAAUCCUGAUGGCUCCAAAACUGCAUUUCUUCCUCUUAUUUCCUUCUAAUGCUUUAGCAGUGUGGUUUGGGAGGUAUUUUUGUCAGGACACAGCCUUGAGUCAUGCCAGGCCAAGAUGCUGACAGAUUCCAUCAGUCUGGUUUGCCAAAGUGGCUGUUCUUUAAAACUGGUACUAAAACAAACCUGGCUUUUGUGAGCAUCAGCACUGGAAACUCAGAUUGAAAGGUUAAGGUUUUAAAAAAAUGACAUCUCUGAUGUGACAGCCAGUUAACUUGUUCACCAGCAUUAGGCAGAAAUCUGGGACUUGAAGGGCUCAGAAAACUGUUUUGGUGACAUUUGUUGUGUAUCUUCUUUCAAGUCCAAAAUCUUUGAAAUUCUUCUUUAAAAAGUAACUGGUAAACUUUUCUCUAAAAUAAAUAUUUUCUGGUUGCCUUUUGAGAUAAAUUACAAGCAUUGAGGAAGGCAAUUCUCUUCACAGAGGGGGCCCUCUGUAAAAACUGCAUUUAACUUACAGCAAUAGCAAAAGGGGAUAAUUUUUGUACAGGGAAAUUGGGGAAGGCCCCUUUUUAUGGGAAUUGAAAGCUACAUGGGAGAGAGAAGAGGUAAACAAAACCGAUGGUGGGAAAGAUGCAAAGGAAAAACAAUGGAAGACAUCAAAGCAAUUGGAAAUGAAAGCAGAACAAUUUCAGCAUUGUCCUACUGUUGACAAAUUACAGCCCAAAAUAUCUUCCUCAUACGAUGAAAGUGCAAACAUUUAAAAUAUGCUCUUCUUUUAUUAAAUAACUAUGUGAAGGAGGUACUUUUUUAAAAUGAGCACACAUCUGAGAACCAAUGUGGCUGAUUUCAGUCACAAAACCAAUUCCUUUAAUUAUUUUUGUUGGUUGAG